UACGGGGGGGGUAAGCGUUGUUCGGAAUUACUGGGCGUAAAGGGCUCGUAGGCGGCCAACUAAGUCAGACGUGAAAUCCCUCAGCUUAACUGGGGAACUGCGUCUGAUACUGGAUGGCUUGGAUUCGGGAGAGGAAUGCGGAAUUCCAGGUGUAGCGGUGAAAUGCGUAGAUAUCAGGAGGAACACCGGUGGCGAAGGCGGAUCUCUGGGCCUUACCUGACGCUCAGGUGCGAAAGCUAGGGGAGCGAACAGG
rnacentral:rRNA from 1 species